CACGGACAGAUUCGAUUCCGACCACAAUGAAACAUGUCCAACAUGUUCUCGGACUCUCGGAAUGAGUUCAUGGGGUGGUAUACUAUACCAGCAGGAACGUAAGUACGUAUGCGGCCGGCAGAUGGGAGAUGAACGUGACGAGCACAAACUGCGAAACACAAAGAUGGCUCCUUGAUAUCCAUCCGCUUUCUUACUAUAGUUUGGACUUUUGCCAAUCGAGUGACAGUGGCAGCAGUAUUGCGGCAGCACCUACUGGACGAGAAAUUAUGCGAAAAGAUGCGAAUAUUCACAGCCUACUUUAAUACCACAGCCUUCUUCAAUACCUAGCCAUGCUAAGAGUAAAAUGGCAACACCGAAGGAGUCCGGCCUCCUAUACCUAACUCAACCUGCCCCAUCGGACUUCAAACAUGCUCCCAACUUCCCUCUAUCGGACUCUCGGUUUCCCGCCUGUUUUUCAAAUGUUUCUUCUCCAAAAGAUAAACUCACACGAGGCUUGACUCGUAAAAUGUAGGAAGCAAUAAGAAAAUUUGUCAGGAAUAAGGCAGGUAAGGUAUCGCGCGGUAAAUGGCACGCGUCUGUGUUUAUUUAUUAUUCCUGCAAAGAAGAAAAGAGAGAAAUGUAUACCAUUUUUUUAUUAAUAAAUGUAAUACAAAGCAUUAAUAAAUGUUUAUUUAAGACUAUAAUGGGUGUUAGGGCUAAGUAUUUUCUUUUU